CGGGCUGUGGCGCAGUUUGGUAGCGCACCUGACUGGGGGUCAGGGGGGCGCAGGUUCAAAUCCUGUCAGCCCGA
rnacentral:tRNA from 1 species